ensembl:lncRNA
GGCGCCGCGAGGUUUUAAAGCCCGGGCCCUGCGGCCCGCAGCAAGUGGGGUGAGCGCCGCGUGCGUUUCGGGAGCCGGCCUGCUCCCUUCCCCCUUGGUAAGUCGAGCGCGGACCUGAGAGGGGGCCGGGGGACCCGGGGGUCUGCGCGCAGCGGCAGCGGCAACUUUUCCGCGCUGGACUCGCGGGCGGAGUGGGGACGCGCCUGGAGGGGUCCCCAACUCUUGGCAACGAGGGCGGCGCGGCGGGGAGUUGGGGGAAAGCCGGGAAGGGGCUUCUGGGGUGGUAGCGACAGAGUCCUGGGGCGCUACCUGCGGAUGAGGGAAGGGCGGCCUGGCUCUGAACCAUCCCCUCAGGCCCGCCCCAGGAGACCUAUUGGGACUUGCUGGGAAGCGCAAAGAGAGAGGGUCCCUGCCUGCCUUGGAGUUUGGCUAGCUAUGCACAGGGGUCCCACUGGGCCCCUAUCUGGCUUUGGGCUAGAAGCACGGGGAAGGGACUCCCGGAGUUCUCUGGAUGAGAGGGAAGUGGUGUCACUUGCAAGUUCUUGACAAGUUGGGGUGAGUGGAGGGAGACGGUUUCCUGUGGGUGGGGGCGAUCUGGUGGGCCCUGGUGCAGCUGGGGUUCAGGGUGUCUCUGCCUCCUGGAUGCGCCUGGCUCCCUCUAGGAGCAGCUCAUGCAAUGUUGGUAGGAAGGGGCCAGGUUUGGGGGUCUCCUGGAGGGCUGACUCUCUAGCCCUGUCAGCUCUGGGGACCCCAUGCCCUUGCACUACAGGAGGUGGGUAAAAUGACCUGGCUGAACCCCAGCUUCUCUGUGCCUGCCCCAGAGAGACUUCUGGUUCCAGCUUUGCUUGGAUGUCCCAAGCCCCAUCCCUGACCUUCCUGCCCAGCUCGGUUGGGGCCCAGGCCCAGGGCCUCCUGAAUGCCUGGGAGGUGCCCUUGGCUGGCUGUCUCCUGUCCCCUUCCCAGCCCCCACCAGCUGCCCGCCGGUGACAGGGUGGUCUCAUGUCCUUGGCAGUCUUGUCUGGGCCAGCCCAAGCUGGAAGGCAGUGCCCAACAGGUGCCUGGCUCAGAGGCGAGGUGAUGUGGGACACGCCCUGUCCGCUCGCCCACAUGCCCUGCUGGGCCAGCAUGGGCACAUGUGUUCCUGCACGGCCGUCCUGGGAAGGCACGGGCCCUGGGUCUGAUGCCAGCUUGUCCUGCGCUUGCAGGGUUCCCUCUGGGAGCUCCCUCAAGACCCCAGCUAGUAGCAGAUCUUGCCCACGGUCCUGGAGGGGCCCUAAAAUAUCUGCUGGCUGGGCCCCGGGCUGGCACGCAGAGUCCAUGCGUGACAGGGCGUGUCCAGGGGUCGGGCCUGUCUGUGCUGGCCCAGCCUCUGUGUCUCCAAUUCCUGCUUGCAGGGGAGAGAGCAAAGAUGGAUGUUCAGGGGUUCUCCCACGGACCCCACAAACAUGCCACACCCUGCCUGAUCGCAAGUGGGGCCCAGAUGUUCAGAUAUUGUGUGUGGGCUGCAGCUUUGGGGCAGGUGCUGUGUAUAUGCAUUCCUGGGGUGACAGUGCCAGUGCAAACCCUGGGGUAACCUGACUGCUCCCGAGGUCCAUGUGGGGCUUAUCCAUCUUCAGGAGCUUUUUGAAAUCUGCCCUGCACCUUGGGUGGGGCUCUGUCCACAGUGAAUGAUGCUGCUGGGAACCUUGGGUGGUCUUAGAAAACCUUCCUCCAACGCUUUUUUCAGGACUUUGUUAUUUUUAUUUUAUUUUUUGGAGGUGGAGGUGAGACAGGUUUCACAUGUAGCCCAUGCUGGCCUAGAACUCAACUGUAUAGCCCAGGCUGGUCUUGAACUCAUGGCGAUUCUCCUGCCUCAGUCUCCAGAGUUGCUGAGAUUACAGGUGCGUGCCACCACACCUGGCUCCACUUUGGGUAUUCCUUAGGCCAGGUACAGGCUGGUUGUGUGUGAGACUCACUGUGGGACCUCACUCCGGCUGGGGAUCGCCCUGUCCUCUGCCUUAUGCAUCUAGAACUGGGGAGAGUUCCCAUGUGAGAGGAGAGCAGCGUGCCCUGCGCUUCUCCCGCCCAGGCCCUGGACUCCAGACUUUUUGGGGCGCUCUGGUCCCUUUCUCCCCUGCUGUCUGGGGUCCUGGGCCGCUCACCUGGAGACGUAUGCAAGGGUUUCGGGUGUGGGCGUGUGGGAAUUCUUGGGUAGAGCAGGAUGCGCCAUGCUGGGCACAGCUGAGUCAUACUCCAGUGGCGCCUUGCCCCAGGGUGCUGGGGCUGGCGCCACCCUGGGUGUGGUCACUGUGCUGUGGCCCGCGGCUGGGUGGUCUGGGAUGUGGCAGGGUGGUGAGGGGCAGCAAAGCAGCUUCUGAGAUGCUAAUUCUUGCCAUCCACAACUAUGGGCAGAUAACCUCCAUAAUGCCGUGGGGAGUCCAGGGACAUCGAGCCACGCGUUUGGGGAAUUUUGGGGUGUCAUGAAAAGAGGACAGAGCCCAUUAGAAAGCAGAUACAGCUGGACAUGGUGGUGCUCACCUGUCAUCCCAGCACUCUGGGAGGCUGAGGCAGGAGGAUCACAAGUUUGAGCUCAGCCUGGGCAACUUAGCGAGACCUUGCCUCAAAAUAAAAAAUAAAGGCCUGGGGAUGGAGCACAAUGUGAAGGCCCCUGGUUCAAACCCUAGUCUCUAAAAAAAAAAAAAAAAGAAGAAGCCAUUUACUCUCUUCUAGGCUUGUAGCCCCCAAACUCCAGGCUAGGGUUUAGAAAUAGACUUCAGUGGCAGGUAGAGGUGGGUACACAAUGGUGGGGUGUACCCCUCAGGGAAGGGCUUCCUGGGUGGAUAUGGGGGUGCCCCUCCAGGCUCUGUGAUUGGCCAGGCCAUGCCUUUGAUCUCCCUAUUUAUAACAGAUGAUUCAGUGUGCUCUUACCCAUCCUGAGCCUGCCCCCAGGGCCAGCCCUGGGUGGGCCAUGGGACUCCCACUUGCAAGGGUGCCAACCCUCGGGACUGCCCAACCUCGUGGGGACAGACCUUAUUGUUCCUGCCGGGGUAACUGGGGUGGAGGGUAGGGGGACUGGCGGUCAGGCGGCGCUGGGCUGGGAAGCCCCGGUUGGCGGCUGGCUCGGGGCCCGGCCCACCGAGCUUCUGUUAAGAGUCUGGCCCAUUAGGCAAAGCGCUAGUGACAGGCUGGGCGGCGGCGGGCAGGGCGGGGCCAGCAGUCCUUGGUAUUUUCCGAUCCCAGCUGCUCUGUGAGGGUGGAAAGUAUUUGGGGAUCAGGCUUGGAGGCGGCAGCGGCGGUGGAGUCCCGGCGGAAGCCGUCCCUGAUGCAUUCCUGGGGCACGGGGCCCUGUGUGUGUCUGAUGGGGAAACUGAGGCUUCUAGGGCAUCUGGGAAACUGCAUUUGGGACUUGAACUCUGGUCUGGUGUUUGGGUGCCAGCCUCUGGCCCCGCCCAGUGCCUCCCACCCUUUGCCAUGGCCGGCUGGGGUUCCUGGGGAUGGGAUUUGCUGUCUCACAAAUCACAUUGCCAGGGAUUUCCAACCGACCCUGAGCUCUGCCUCCGGGCCCACCACUGCCACUGAGGAUGCCUGUCCAUGCCUGGGGACGGGGUGUCGGAGAGGCCCUGCCACCGCCACCACCACUGCUGUAGCCGUCGCCAGGCCUGAGGAGCAGGGCUUAGCUGCUUGUGAGCAGAGUCCGCACCAAGUCGUGUUCACAGUGGCUAAGUUCCGUCCCCUGGGCCCCGCCUCCACCGCCCCACCUUUCUGCUGGUUGCCCAGUUCCCCGGGCUCUGCCUCCCGUGCCUACUGAGCUGAAACACAGUUGAUUUGUGCAGACUGGCUCAGUUCAGCAGGAACAGGGGUCAAGCCCCCUGGAGCCUGGAGCGCACAGCCUGGCUGUCCUGACACGGCGACCAGACAGGCGCAGAUGUGUCUGAAGGAGGGGACACGGGAGGACGGGGUGAGAGGGCUGGCCUGGGUCUAGGCAUCUGCUGCAGGCCACCUCUCUUUUUUGUUUUUUGAUACCAUGGAUGGAACUCGGGUCCUUGCACUUUCGCAGCAGGCAGUGAAACCACUGAGCUAAAUCCCCAGCCCAAGGCCACCUCUCUUGGUCUGCACAGAGGGACCCUGUUGUCCCAACAUGGCCAUACCUCGAACAGGCUGAGCCGUUGUCCCAGGGUAGACAGGACAGAGGGUCCUUCCUUAAGCCAGCUGUGCUUCUCUGGGCCUAGCACCUCAGCUCCUCCCUGUUUUGAUUCGUGAGAUUGAGUCUCCCUGUGUAAUCCAGGCUGGCUUUGAAUUAUGUAGCCAGGCAGUCCUCCUGCCUCAGCUUCCUGAGUGCUGGGAUGACAUGUGUGUGUCACCAUGCCUGGCCCUGCCCCUCCUGUCCUAAGCCUAGCGGGGAGUGCUGAACCUUCCCAGCUGCCUGUUACCCAAGAGGAAGCUGCCUUAGGCCCCCUGACCGUUAAGUGCCAACUCACAGCUUCUGGAACUAGCUGGCCCGACUUGGCCGAGUGAGUGUGCCUGGGCCCCUCUCCCUGGCCCUGAGGGUUCUUAAUGACACCCACUCCACGUGGGGUAGGGAACAGUUCCAUGCGGCCCCAAGAGGGACAUGAUCAGGCCUCCCCUGUCCUGGGGUUGAGGUCAUCCUGUCCUGCUCUCCUUGGUGGUCCUGGGCUUGGAAGAGGUGAAUUGUGCCACUGUCCCCAAGUCAGAUGGGAGGAAGCUCUUUGGGCCUGGAGGGAGGGUCCAGUGAAAUGCCCAGACUGUCAGGGCUGGCCUGGUGUUGCCCAGGUAGGGGCAGACAGGAGCUUGGGUGGAGGGAGGGCAGCAUUUGUAUUGUGCCCCGCAUGUGAUGCCCAGUGAAAUAAAAGUUGUCCCAGCUUCACUCCUGAGGCUCUGAUGGUCCGUGAUUUGCUCCUGUCUCUGUCCUUACAGUUACAGCUUUUUAUUCUUUCCGAUGCUGGGGGUGGAACUCCGGCCUCGUGCGGGCUGGACCAGCGCUCACCACCGAGUUACCUUGCCGGCUACACAUGCAGCCUUUGCAUUCUGGAGCAGGGGCUCCAGAUCUCACCGGCUCCCAACCCCCGCUCUGAGGGUGGCGGGAAAAGCCAGACUUGUUUUCCUGUGGACCAAGGGGGGCCCUGAGCUUGGAGAGGUGACUUUGAGGGAUGUCCUGGGGUGACACUAUUGUGGGAGGAACAAAAAUGAGGGUUACUAUGAAUGAUGACUGAGCCAAGAGGGAGGGAAGGGAGCCUGAUCUAGGGAUGGUGGGGGUGGAUUGGGCCUCAGGACAAACUGGACCGGGAGACCACUGGACGUGAGGGUCCUGAGCUAAUGGCAUUUGGGGACCACUGGGACUUAACCUGGGCUGUGGGGAGAGAUCUAGGGUGCCUGCUGUCUUAAGAAUGCUGAAAUUUUUUUCGAGACGGUCUUGAUUGUAGGCUGGCUCGGAGUCUCGGCAAGCCUCCUGCCUCAGCCUCCGGAGUCCCAGGAUGACAGGCGUUGCCACCACGCCCAGCUAGAAGGUGUAUGCGUAAGGCGGAGGAGAUUCCUGGUCCAAGGGGGAGAUAUUCAGGUGGCAGGGGACUAAGUGGCCCCCAGUCGGUAGGGAUACCCGUGGGUAACGGGAGCAGUGAGGGCGCCCGAGCCCCACGAGGGGCACCAAGGCGGACCAACGGCAGAGUGGGAAGCCCGGAUCGUCGCCCCACCCCGGCCCAGUCUAAGGCAGCCUGCGGGCGGGUCCAAGCCUCCGCAGCACGUACCUGCAGGAAUGAGCGGGGCUGGAGGUAGGGCCGUCGCCGAUUGGCCCCCUAGAUCCCAGGGCGUCACUCGGAACCAAUCGGCGUACCCAGCGCAGCCGGAGUCCCGCCCCCGAUUGCUCGCGCUGCCACGGC